GACGUAGGGCGCAAGCGUUGUCCGGAUUUAUUGGGCGUAAAGAGCUCGUAGGCGGCUUGUUGCGUCGACCGUGAAAACCCGCGGCUCAACUGCGGGCUUGCGGUCGAUACGGGCAGGCUAGAGUUCGGUAGGGGAGACUGGAAUUCCUGGUGUAGCGGUGAAAUGCGCAGAUAUCAGGAGGAACACCGGUGGCGAAGGCGGGUCUCUGGGCCGAUACUGACGCUGAGGAGCGAAAGCGUGGGGAGCGAACAGG
rnacentral:rRNA from 1 species